GAUUGCAAGAAGGAGAGAAAGCCACAGUUGAACUCUUACAGUCGUACACGUGUGAGAAGGAUAAGAAUUUAGGGUUGCAAGAUGAAAAGAGGGAAUACAAAAAAACAAAGGGGAAGAAUUACUUUACCUUUUCUUUUCUUUCUCCUUCUUCGUUCUCUCUGUUUUGCAAAUAACCCUAAUGUGGUUCUUCCUUUUGUGGUUUGAUUUUAGUAUAAUGAACUCACUAUAAUGAGAAGAUUAAGGAGAAGAAGAAGGAUGCUACAAGUAUUUACGUGGUUCGGCCAAGAUAAAACCUACAUCCACGAGAAGGAUCUUUUCUUUUGUAAUGAUGAAGAUGAGUAUACAAAAUUCACUCUUUUCCUUUCUUCUCUCUUUUUGAUGAAAAGUAUGUGUCUAUUUUUCUAUUUUGUUAGGAAGCACCUUUAUAUAUUUAUAGGUGGUUACACAACAGAAGUAGUUAGAAAAAGAAAGAAAAAAGACUUAUGAAUUUCAGUUGGAAUUCAUUCUGUUUUACACUUUGCCUAGGCCCUUUCUUUGACUAUAUGCCUUGCCAUCUCUUCUUAUCAUCUAGCUCCUUUCCUUGACAUGCUUUAAGCUACCAUACACUCCAACCAAGAAAUUUGUACAACUAUGUACUUUCCAUGGUUUUUCAAAAAUUACUAUUGAAAUGCCUUUUUUAACCGAGUGUUGAAAUAAAAUUUCCUUUUUGUCCAAAACAUUAUACGAGUUCUUUAAUUCGUCAUAAAUACUUAAGACCUUGGUAUAAUUCCUUUUCCUACCAACUUUUACCAAGUUACGUUCUUAAGCUCGUUGAAAAUUUAAAGAAUGCUUGAAAAUUCCCUUAAGACUUUGGAAUCGAAGCUUACAUAUUAUUUUCUGGAAUUUCCCAAUCAACGUUUUGAUCUCUCUUCACACACGUCCUCCUCGUCAGACGAAAAAAUUCAAAUAUAUUUUCAUCCACGCGUCUCUCCUCCUCUAUCCGCCAUGUGUCAGCACCUCCUCGUGUGCGGAUCCUCAGCCACCCGAGUUCGAAUCCCACCGACUUAAACUCAUUUUUUUUAUAUGUUUUCAAUGACAUUUUCAUGAUAGUUUUGCAACUUUCUUAAAAAUAGCCAAUUUUCGUCAAUUCUCUCCAUGCCUUCGCUUAAAAGUCAUGGUUUCGAACCCCAUAAACUGUUAUUUCCAUUAUUUUUCUAUAUAAGCCGUAAUUUCCCCAAUUAAUUCAUCAAUUCACAAAUUAAUCCCAAAUUCUCUAAAAAGUCCCAAUCCUCUUCUUCAUUGUGCCUCUUUUCUUCCCUCAAAAUAAUUUUGAGCAAUGUCUAAUUAAUUCUUGAAAUUGUCCUUGAUUCACCAAUUUGUAUGCAAGAUACUUUGACUAUGGAAAAUGAGUGCAAGAAUGAUUUGAUUACAUUUGUCUACACAAAAACUCAAUUUAAUUCUUGAUUUCAACGUGUCAAAUCUUGAUAUUGAUUAAUGCCAGAUGAAUCACCCUUGUUCUUGGCAAUUUGUGAAUUUUGCAUCAACUUGAUGUGCACAAUUAAAUCCAAUUAAUUCAUUGUUGCAAAUUAUUUCCAAAAAAGUACCAAAGAUACUUUGAUCUUCUUUAAAGAGCAAGAAUUAGACAUUAGUUGUUAUUGCAAGAAUAUACAAUAAAUGCUUUUGAUGAUUAUCUCUUUUCUUGAAGCUUGAUUAAAGUUCUUAUAAGAAUGAAGCAAGUUGAUCUUGCAAGAAUCUUGAUCAAAAAUCUCCUUUUUUGAGAAAAAAACCAUUUCAUAUUCCUUUUAUUUCAAUUAUAAGAAUUGAAUAAUGCCUAUGGCUCAUUUCCUCAUUUUUCUUGUAGAGUUUAAUUUUUACAUUUUUUUUUUGUUUAAUUGAGUUUACAUCCUAAAUCAACCUUAAUUCUUGAUUCAACUUGAUUUUUUCCACAUUUUCUUUCAUGCUUUCCUGUUCUACUAACAUCACUUCUUUGAAGCUUGAUUUCAGAAUAUUUAUUUUAUCACCGUUCUGUUGGGUUCGACACUCCUACUUACCAUCGACCUAUGAUAAAAAGUAAGGGUAAAUUUUUAAAUACUUUUUGUCGAGGUAAAUCUUGGUAAAUGCAACCUACUCUUAGCAAGCUAAAUUUCAUUAUUAAACAUAUUAGUGCUUGACUCUAACAACCUUACCGAUAUAUAGUUUCAUACGUAUUGUUUUUGCCUUGUCAUAUGCUUUACUACUAUGUGACUACUUCUAUGCUUUCAUAACUAGUAUUAAACAUGUCACAUGUUUCUCAGGUUUUGAACAUAACAUGGCUAAAUGCAACACUUGACUCAUAGGAGAACAAUUAAAACUUUAACUUUUGAAAGAGAAGUCACUUACUAACCAAAUUUAUUUUCCUUUUCCUUUUUCCCUUCUGAUGCCUACCCUAUGCUUCCCAAUGCUUAGUCCUCUUUAACACCUAAUUCUUACGACCCUCUCAAAGCUAACCUUCUUUUCUUACUCCAGCUUCAACUUAUGACAACUCUUAGUCUAUUUAUACUAGUCUUGAGCUUAGAUUGAUCACCUUUAAACUCUUUUAAUUCGAUAAGUACCUACUUAGCCUUUUACACGUGUCAUUCCAUUAGUUAUUAGUUAAAAUAAUUCUAAUUAAGCCACCUUAAAUCUACUUAAAAUCUUAAACUGUCACGUGCCCCACUACUUUCCAUACUUCACAGUCGUAGCUAUCUAACUAAGCGCAUCCACCCUUAACUCUUGACUGCCAAGCCCUUUCUUUCUCAUGCGUCCUUCUUCGUCGUCUAGCAUCAUAUAUAACACCUACCAAAAUAUUUACAACCUCCAUUAAUAUCUUGGUUUCACACUUUGAUUUCCAUCUAUCCCCUUAACCCCUUCUUUUAAACUUUGAUUUCCUAACUUCUAACGCCUAGUACUCAAAACAUGGGUAUCACAAUUUUCAUGCAAGGCAUACAUCAUCUCGGGGCUCUGAAGAUCUUGUGCAUGUAAAGUUUUGUCACAAUUGUGGAGCCAUCGAGGUUUAUUUCAAAAGUGUGCUUAAAUUUAUCUUUUUAUCUUUCACACAUUUAUCGAAACACACUGUCUUUCUCUCUUUUUUCUCUUUGAUGUGAAUCCAACAAUUGGUCCAUUAAUUGUACCCGAAGCAACAAUUACAAGAAGCAAGAUAAAGAAGAUUCAAGAGGCUUUCACACUACACCUUCAAAAGCUAGCAAAAUUUCAUCAAGCAACAAACAAUUUUGACUCAAAUUUAUAUUCAAUGUUAGUUCAAUGACUCAAGAUGAGAAUGGAGUGAAUAUAGCAUGAGAAAAGUCUAAUAACUUGAAAGAUGACACAAAGGAAAAAGGGUGUACAAAUUUUACGAAGAACGUGUUGUUAUUCGUGCAAUGCACGAGAAAACAUGAUGUCAAACCUUAUUAAAUAUGCAAAACUACUUUGGCGCCUUUUAGAGGCAAAAUUUAAGGCAUUGAUGAUUUUCUACAUUUUUAGUUUUCCAGUUUGAUUUAUAAUUUAGUACAUAAUAUUGUUUUAAGUUCUUAGGUUUUAUUUUCUGCAAUUGGCAUUUAAGUGUAUUUGAAUGACUUUUGAACUUUCACCCCAUGCACAACUUUUUAGUCUAUAAAAUGGCUUGUAGUGCAUGCUCACAACUUUUUAGUCUAUAAAAUGGCUUGUAGUGCAUGCUCUCUAAAAUUCAGAAUAUCAAUAUUAAAAAGCUUACGCUUAAUCCACUCUUUUGGUAUUGUGUUAACUUUUCAAAUCUUGCUUUAGAUUUGAUGUUAAAAUCAAAUCAUUAGAUUAGUCUUGUUCAAUUAGCUAAUUUUAAAGUGAAUUGUCUUUGGAUCUUUGAGUGACCAUCAUAGGUUCUAAGUUUGAUCUAAGUUAACUUUUUUUGUGAGUGAUUGCAAGGAUCCUAAUAAAAGACCUCUAUAUAGCUUUGCAUGUAACAAAAAAAGAAGAUGCAAAUCACUCUUUAUUAAUGUUUUCAAACUCCAGACUAAAUAACCAAACCCUAACUUCACACGAUCUGACCGAGCACCUUAAACAUAAUUUUAUGUUCUUACAAACAUUGAGAGAGAAGUGUAAAAAAAAGAUAUUUUUUUUAUUUCUUAAAAGUGUUAAAAAUGUAUAUCAUCUUGUAAUAUAUUUAUCACAGUGUUUGUCUUUCCCAGGUACUUGCGUUCGUGGUAAAAAGAAAAAAAACUACAAUACAUUUAAUAAAAACAUUUGUUAUUUAUAUUUAGGUUCUUCUAAACAAUAUGAUAAAAUGCAUUUUUAGUUCUUAGUGUUAUGAUAUAUAUAUAUAUAUAUAUGUCCUUUAUUGUAAUUUUACAUAGUCUCUAGGGUUUAGUUUAUUCUCUAUAUAAAUAUGUAACAUUGCUUUGACUCAAUGAUAAUAAGACAUAUACGUUUCUGAAUUCUAAAUUACA
rnacentral:lncRNA from 1 species